rnacentral:rRNA from 1 species
AGUGAACGCUGGCGGUAGGCCUAACACAUGCAAGUCGAACGGCAGCACAGUAAGAGCUUGCUCUUACGGGUGGCGAGUGGCGGACGGGGGAGGAAUACAUCGGAACCUACUUUUUCGUGGGGGAUAACGUAGGGAAACUUACGCUAAUACCGCAUACGACCUACGGGUGAAAGCAGGGGAUCUUCGGACCUUGCGCGAUUGAAUGAGCCGAUGUCGGAUUAGCUAGUUGGCGGGGUAAAGGCCCACCAAGGCGACGAUCCGUAGCUGGUCUGAGAGGAUGAUCAGCCACACUGGAACUGAGACACGGUCCAGACUCCUACGGGAGGCAGCAGUGGGGAAUAUUGGACAAUGGGCGCAAGCCUGAUCCAGCCAUACCGCGUGGGUGAAGAAGGCCUUCGGGUUGUAAAGCCCUUUUGUUGGGAAAGAAAAGCAGCAGGUUAAUACCCCGCUGUUCUGACGGUACCCAAAGAAUAAGCACCGGCUAACUUCGUG